GGUGGGGUUCCCGAGUGGCCAAAGGGAUCAGACUGUAAAUCUGACGCGCAAGCUUCGGUGGUUCGAAUCCACCCCCCACCA
rnacentral:tRNA from 1 species